rnacentral:lncRNA from 1 species
GGUAGAAAGGCCCCAAGGCCGGGCUUCGGUGGCUGCAGUAGACUGGAUCUGGAUCUCUAAAUGGCAAUCUAUUGACAUGGCUGCCAGCGGUACUUGUGUGUAUGCGAGUAGCACUAGAAAUGCCAUAACAAUGGAAUCAUAUGUCCACAGUUCUACCUCUUUGAGCCAUGCAAUUUAAGGUUGAAGACCUGAAAACUGUGACCCCUGUUGCCUAGCAACUGAGAAGCUCAGCCUCAACUCCGGGUGGGGGAGAUGAUGGAGAAAGGUACUGCAUUUUGAUAAAUUGAAGGUUUGUGGAACGCUGCAUUGAGCAAGUCUAUUGGUACCAUUUUCCAACAGCAUGUGCUCACUUCAUGUCUCUGUGCCACAUUUGGAAUGAAGAGAAUCUGAACUAAGAUGGGGUGAAAGUAGGAAAUCAUUCCCCCAUGUCAAGUGCAAGGGCUAUCCAGUUAGAGGCCAACACAGAUGUCUGAUCAAAGUGCUCCCAAAGCUUGCUGGCACAUAAACAUGAAUGAAUGAACAAUGUAGAAUUCACUCAAGAAAUUUCAAGGAGAGAGAGGAGGAGAUUUACAUCACACAGCAAACAACCUAAUAAAUCUGUUAAACGCCA